UACGUAGGGGGCAAGCGUUGUUCGGAAUUACUGGGCGUAAAGGGCGCGUAGGCGGCCUGCUAAGUCGGAUGUGAAAUCCCUCGGCUCAACCGAGGAACUGCAUCCGAUACUGGCGGGCUUGAAUCCGGGAGAGGGAUGUGGAAUUCCAGGUGUAGCGGUGAAAUGCGUAGAUAUCUGGAGGAACACCGGUGGCGAAGGCGGCAUCCUGGACCGGUAUUGACGCUGAGGCGCGAAAGCUAGGGGAGCAAACGGG
rnacentral:rRNA from 1 species